CACAGGUGCCCCGCGGCAUCACCAGGGUCACGGGCCUUCAGGCCACUGGACUCCCCCACAGACACCCCUGCACACCCACAGCCCUGGCCGCAGCCCGGCUGACCUAGCAGGGCUCAAACGCAACACUUUUGGGGUCGGCUUCGCCCGCUGCUGCUCAGUGGGACAAGUCACGUCACUGCUCUGAACCUCGGUGUCCUUCCCAGUAACAACAACCGAGAACAAGAACAGAACUGAGAACUCUGUGCCAGUCGCUGUGAAUGUUGAGAACUGCCAGUACUGGAAGCUGAGAUCCCAUCCAUAUGCCAGGUUUUAAAUAGCAGACUGGAAACAAGUUUACACAGGAAGACCAAACUCAUCCCAAACAUGCCGCUACUGCACUGUUCCGACAAGAAACCCGUGCCCCCCACCCGCCCUGCCUGCGCGCCCCUGUCUUCCCACUUCAAACGAUUCGGAGAGUAAUCCUUGUUUUAGAGAAACAUUUCUGAAUUCCGUCUGCUAUGCUUCAUGCGUGAAGAAGCAAGCGGUGACCCAGUCACUGCAAGGUGUGCUUUGGUCUGGUUUCCUCUGGGCGCGGGCGGGGGCAGGGGUAGGACCUGGGUAAUCUAUCUGUAAUCUACCUGCACUCACCCCAGAAGUGAUUCCCACCUGCACACGCUUGCUCCCGGAAGUGGUUCCCCCUGUGCUCACUCUCUCCCGGAAGUGGCUUCCGCCUGCCCGCUCUCAGAGGCGCUGUGUCUCUGUCCUGAGCCGCACGUAGAGGGUUCGCGCCGGACUUGGCAAUUCCCGUGCUGCCGAAAGGAACUUGGCUGUGAUCGCCGGCAAUGACUUCAUCCCUCUGAGCCUCAGUUUUCUCCUCUGCCAAAGGGACGCAGCCGACAGAGCACGAUGGUUAGGCGCCUGGACUCUGGCAUCACAUCACCAGUGUUCAAAACCCUCAGCCCUGCAUCUUGCUGACUGAUAACCCGGAACGGGGCCUCUCUGAGCCUCAGUUUCCCUCCCCGAAGAGUGGAUGACCUCGUAGUUGGUGCCUGCCUCUGAGAUACUUUGUUGUGAGGGUUAAGAGCCACGAUGCCACAAAGUACUGAAUGCAGGGCCUGGCACAUGGUGAAUGACAGCAAAUGCCAGUUAGGAUCAUGACAGCCUUAGGCCACCUGCCUUGUGUGUGGCGACUGCCAGUGGGCAUGAGGGCCUCAAGUCCGAGACUUAGCACUUGCUUCCAAAACUCAGCGCUGCACUCUGACAUGGGUCUCCAGGGUGGUGGAUCCACAGAAGAUCUGGUCCUCACCCACCUAUUUUUUUCCCUCGCCUGAGCUCCCUCCUGCCUGCCCUGGAGGCAAGGAGGGGGCGGGGUUGAUCUAUGGGCCUGGUAACCUGCCUGGGGGAAGGGAGGGGGCCUCUGACCCGAGGGGUAAAUCAUGGGCUUCCCCAAGGGCCCAGCAGUUCCCUAGGAAAGAAGCCCUGGGCAUUUGUUAUCUCAAUGUUUCCCCUGAGGGGCUGACCACAUGAUUCAUUUCACUCACACUAAUUGGAUGUAAAUUAGAUGAGAAAUCAGUAAUUUGUCCUAAGAUUUGUCAUUCCGGAUGGCUUUCCAGGCAGACCAAAGCAAAGCUGGUCCCAGUGAAGGCGCCCCCAGCCGUAAGAGAGGCACAGGCGGUUUUAGGAGAGGGAAAGGUUUUCCUUGGUGACUUCUAAGUUUGCAUUCUUCUUAAAAAGGGAGGUGCUGGAUGACCCACAGCCUUGGGUCCCCAAGCUCUGAAGCAGCAGGUCUAGGAGGGGAGGCAGACAGUAAUCGAAUAACCGUGCACAUCCAUGUGUGAUGAUGAACUAUGCCAAGUGCCACGCAAGGAAGCUGGGGGCUUUGACAGCAGAUGAGAACAUUGAAGCCAAGAGAGGUUAAGUGACUUUCCCAAGGUCUUGCUGCCAACAAGUUCAAGAGCAGACUCAAACUUGCCAUUCCUGACUCCAAAGUGCCUACUUUUAACCUCUUCCAUUCCUUCCUCUCCUCUCUCCCUUCGGUUCUUCUCUUCCUCCUCUCCCUCUCUCUCCCUUCCUGGCUUCUAUCGACAUGUACAAGCUCACAGUGAACUGGAGGCUGGUUAUUCACACUCCGCCAUUGCUCUGUGCUUUACACGCGUGUCGUUUCAUAACAAGGAUGUGAUUCACGCUCAACUUUGGAGGACACCUCUAUCCGUAUAACGUUGCCAAGUUCCUCGGCAAAUGUUAAGGUGUUGAGGGAGAAUCACUGACAUUUCGGAGUUGGGAGUGCACCCUCUUCUUUUCACACAGACAGAAUGAGGCCCGGAGAGGAGAGAAGGUUUGUCUGGGGAUGAGGUGGAUCGCCAGCCAAGGAGCGAAGACCAGAAACCGGAAGGCGCCCCCCCCCCCUCCUCCGCCCCCGUGAUCCUUACCCCAUUGCAGCCACCACCCAGGGCACACAGCCCACUCUGAGAAAUCAGGGAAUCCCUUAGAAGACCAGGACACCCCAGGAAUGCAAUAGAAAGGAUUCCUCAGAUGGACACAGAACCCGUACCCCGGCAGCACAAAGGCACCACCAGCCAUUCUAAGAGCCCUGACCCCCACCCCCACCCCCACCCCCACC